rnacentral:rRNA from 1 species
AAUGAACGUUGGCGGCAUGGAUUAGGCAUGCAAGUCGAGCGAGAAGGAAAUCAAAGUUUACUUUGGUUUCCGGAAAGCGGCGAAAGGGAGAGUAACGCGUAGUUAUCUACCCCAAGGCCCGGAAUAGCUGCGGGAAACUGCAGGUAAUGCCGGAUAAUAUCCCCGGAUCAAAGGUGUGAUUCCGCCUUGGGAGGAGACUGCGUUGUACUAGCUUGUUGGUAGGGUAAUGGCCUACCAAGGCUACGAUGCAUAGCGGGCGUGAGAGCGUGGCCCGUCUCACGGGGACUGAAACACUGCCCAGACACCUACGGGUGGCUGCAGUCGAGAAUCUUCGGCAAUGGGCGAAAGCCUGACCGAGCGAUGCCGCGUGCGGGAUGAAGGCCCUCGGGUUGUAAACCGCUGUCGUAGGGGAGAAAGGACCGUUGAAGAGACGGUUUUGAUCUAUCCUAGGAGGAAGUCCGGGCUAAGUUCGUGCCAGCAGCCGCCGUAAUAC